rnacentral:rRNA from 1 species
UACGUAGGGAGCAAGCGUUGUCCGGAAUCAUUGGGCGUAAAGCGCGCGUAGGUGGCCCCAUAAGUCCGCUGUGAAAGUCAAAGGCUCAACCUUUGAAAGCCGGUGGAUACUGUGGGACUAGAGUACGGAAGAGGCGAGUGGAAUUCCUGGUGUAGCGGUGGAAUGCGCAGAUAUCAGGAGGAACACCGGUGGCGAAGGCGGUUCUCUGGGCAUGUCCUGACGCUGAGGAGCGAAAAGUGUGGGGAGCGAACAGG